rnacentral:rRNA from 1 species
UACGUAGGUCCCGAGCGUUAUCCGGAUUUAUUGGGUUUAAAGGGUGCGUAGGCGGGAUGCCAAGUCAGCGGUAAAAAUGCGGUGCUCAACGCCGUCAAGCCGUUGAAACUGGCGUUCUUGAGUGGGCGAGAAGUAUGCGGAAUGCGUGGUGUAGCGGUGAAAUGCAUAGAUAUCACGCAGAACUCCGAUUGCGAAGGCAGCAUACCGGCGCCCUACUGACGCUGAGGCACGAAAGCGUGGGUAUCGAACAGG